CACAGCGUGUUCUUUCGGUGCCAUUCACCCCAAAAUACUUGAAAUCUUGUAAGAAACCAAGGCCUCUGACCUCCUACUUAAUGCAAAUCCACGACUCCCAGAAACCAGUAUUCAUACAGUGGAAUCUUCAGGGAAGACCUUCUUUAUGCACUGAUUUAGUAUCCGUGAAAAAUUACAGUUCUACCACUGCUCGAGCUGGUUGGUUUCUUGGUAUGGGAGAGAAAAAAAAGCAAGUCUUGCCUGAUAGUGGAAUCUUCAGGGCAGACCUUCUUUAUGCACUGAUUUAGUAUCCGUGAAAAAUUACAGUUCUACCACUGCUCGAGCUGGUUGGUUUCUUGGUAUGGGAGAGAAAAAAAAGCAAGUCUUGCCUGAUAUCGUGAAAGCUGGUGACCCAGUUCUUCAUG
rnacentral:lncRNA from 1 species